rnacentral:rRNA from 1 species
AGCGAACGCUGGCGGCAGGCUUAACACAUGCAAGUCGAGCGGGCAUCUUCGGAUGUCAGCGGCAGACGGGUGAGUAACACGUGGGAACGUACCCUUCGGUUCGGAACAACUCUGGGAAACUGGAGCUAAUACCGGAUACGCCCUUAUGGGGAAAGGUUUACUGCCGAAGGAUCGGCCCGCGUCUGAUUAGCUAUUUGGUGGGGUAACGGCCUACCAAGGCGACGAUCAGUAGCUGGUCUGAGAGGAUGAUCAGCCACACUGGGACUGAGACACGGCCCAGACUCCUACGGGAGGCAGCAGUGGGGAAUAUUGGACAAUGGGCGCAAGCCUGAUCCAGCCAUGCCGCGUGAGUGAUGAAGGCCUUAGGGUUGUAAAGCUCUUUUGUCCGGGACGAUAAUGACGGUACCGGAAGAAUAAGCCCCGGCUAACUUCGUG